AGAGUUUGAUCCUGGCUCAGAACGAACGCUGGCGGCGUGCUUAACACAUGCAAGUCGAACGUGAUCCAGAGCUUGCUCUGGUGAAAGUGGCGCACGGGUGAGUAACGCGUGGAUAACCUGCCCUGGUAUYUGGGAUAACAUCUCGAAAGGGGUGCUAAUACCGGAUAAGCCUACGGGGUCUUCGGACUCUGCAGGAAAAGGUGGCCUCUAUUUAUAAGCUACCGUAUCAGGAUGGGUCCGCGUACCAUUAGCUAGUUGGUGGGGUAAUGGCCCACCAAGGCGACGAUGGUUAGCUGGUCUGAGAGGAUGAUCAGCCACACUGGAACUGAGACACGGUCCAGACUCCUACGGGAGGCAGCAGUGGGGAAUUUUGCGCAAUGGGGGAAACCCUGACGCAGCAACGCCGCGUGAGUGAUGAAGGCUUUCGGGUCGUAAAGCUCUGUCAGAGGGGAAGAAAUGAGCCUGGCUAAUAUCCAGGUUUCUUGACGGUACCCUCAAAGGAAGCACCGGCUAACUCCGUGCCAGCAGCCGCGGUAAU
rnacentral:rRNA from 2 species